GAGUUUGAUCCUGGCUCAGGAUGAACGCUAGCGGCAGGCUUAACACAUGCAAGUCGAGGGGUAACAGGGAGUGCUUGCACUCUGCUGACGACCGGCGCACGGGUGCGUAACGCGUAUGCAACCUACCUUCUACAGGGGGAUAGUCCAGAGAAAUUUGGCAUAAUACCCCAUACGAUCAUUUAUUGGCAUCGAUAGAUGAGGAAAACUCCGGUGGUAGAAGAUGGGCAUGCGUCCUAUUAGUUAGUUGGUAAGGUAACGGCUUACCAAGACAUCGAUAGGUAGGGGUCCUGAGAGGGAGAUCCCCCACACUGGUACUGAGACACGGACCAGACUCCUACGGGAGGCAGCAGUGAGGAAUAUUGGACAAUGGAGGCAACUCUGAUCCAGCCAUGCCGCGUGCAGGAAGACGGCCCUACGGGUUGUAAACUGCUUUUAUACAGGAAGAAACGCCGCUACGUGUAGCGGUUUGACGGUACUGUACGAAUAAGGAUCGGCUAACUCCGUGCCAGCAGCCGCGGUAAUACGGAGGAUCCAAGCGUUAUCCGGAAUCAUUGGGUUUAAAGGGUCCGUAGGCGGUUUUUUAAGUCAGAGGUGAAAUCCUGCAGCUCAACUGUAGCAUUGCCUUUGAUACUGAAAGACUUGAGUUAUUGUGAAGUAGUUAGAAUGUGUAGUGUAGCGGUGAAAUGCAUAGAUAUUACACAGAAUACCGAUUGCGAAAGGCAGAUUACUAACAAUAUACUGACGCUGAGGGACGAAAGCGUGGGUAGCGAACAGGAUUAGAUACCCUGUAGUCCACG
rnacentral:rRNA from 1 species